UUAGAAUAAUAUAUAUUCUUGUUUCAAACUGCAUGAACAAAAUUUCUGAUCUGGUAAUGAAUUCUGCUCAAAAACAUUUAGUGUGAACAGGACUUUAUCCACAAGCUUUGCAAAUUGUCAGUUGCAUUAAAAUAAACAUUUGCCUUAAUAACACACAAGAGUCAUAUCAAUGUAACACACACAUGAUACAAAAACAUGCUGUUAAGCAUUCUGGGAAAUAGUUUCCACUCCUUUCUUUUUCUUCUUUCGCUUUUUUAAGUGCUAAAAAUUCUAGUUUAUUAAACUCUUGGAGGUUUCAUUAAAUUAUUAAAAAAAGUU